CAGGGGAUGUGGGUUUCCAUUCAAGAUCGUCUGGGUCUAUUUUCUUCACAGAAUUCCUCUUGAAGAAAGUGAGAGCGGGACGAUCAGAGAGGAAGAUGCCCUGAGGAGGGAAGACAAAAAGCUGGACCAGAGUCCAAAUAUAAAGCAAGUUAAAAUAUGACAUGAACUUUGAGCGUUUGAUGGUGUUUGGAAGAAGAGAGCUUAUUCGUCUCUGUGCUCAGAGUCUGAGCUGCCCGGGUACAGAAUCACACUUCACUCCGGGGUUCAAGGUUUCAUUUCUUGGACCCUUGGUGACGUGCCUGUCCCCAGCCCCGCCCCACUGCAGCCCCGCGGGCGUGGCUUCCGCACGGACCGCUCUGCCCCCGUCCCCGUCGUCGCCCUGCGUCAGGAGACGCCUGAAACAAUGCUCGGCUCCUCUUGCCUGUUUCUUUCCUGCUGUUAGAGUCACCGUGUCUGUGUUUUAAAG